AUCGUAGCGGGCGUUAAUCCGGGAGCGUUGUUUGUGUGCUGGUGCCACGGCUGUCGUGUGCCCGUGACAAGAAAAGCAUGUCCGCGGAGGGGAUGCGUGUGGCUGCUGAAGAUCUUGCAUCUGAACUUGUGCUCAAUAUUAAAGAAGAGUCUGAAAAGUGCCGAGGCGCGACGAAUCCAUGUUUUUGCUGUUCCUCCGUGGUGGAGGAUCCUGCUAAUGUCGUUUCUGAACUGAUCUUGGAUGGGUCAGGCGAUGCCAUGCUUGAUGUCCUCAAGGACCUGCUGGGGAUAUCGGAGGUGCGGGAGGCAGCUCGCCUCUGCCGCACGUGCGUCAGCAAGCUGUACAGCUACUGUCAGAUGUCGUCAGCCGUCUCUCAGAUGCGGCGUGACAUGCGGAUCGUCUUCGCCAAGGCGUCGGCCGCUUUUGCAAAGACGCGGGCGGAGGAGGCGCUCCGCCAGCCGGGUGGCUCUC